CCGUGCCUUAUAGUGGGGGAGUAGCCUUUCGUAAAGGAAGAUUAAUACCGCAUAAGAUUGUAGUAUCGCAUGAUAUAGCAAUUAAAGGAGCAAUCCGCUAUAAGAUGGACCCGCGUCGCAUUAGCUAGUUGGUGAGGUAAUGGCUCACCAAGGCGACGAUGCGUAGCCGACCUGAGAGGGUGAUCGGCCACAUUGGGACUGAGACACGGCCCAGACUCCUACGGGAGGCAGCAUG
rnacentral:rRNA from 1 species